AAGGUUAACUAAGCAAGAAAUCCAGAUCGUUCAAUGAACGUUCUAGCACAGAAACACUUAACGUGCCUUUUCAGGCAUUACCGCGCAUUGGUAACAAAACAGGAAGUUGCAUCAAGUUAUAGUUUCUGUUAACUUGCAGUAGACAUAGUUUUACCACAAGCUUGACAAAAAUCUGAUACCUAAGGAUUAGCAAUCUUGAAAGCAUUCGAUGCGCUAUGAUUUCAACCAUUUUGCUCCGCGGAAUCAAAGCCAUACUUGUUUCCGCCCCAUGCAAUGUAACUGUCCUGUGAUCCAAACUCAAGUUGACUAAGCCGGAAAUCAGGUGGAGUGCCAAUCUCUAUGUUGGCUGGAUCAGCAACAAAUUGUUGGCACUCCUCCAAAUCCUUCUUCAGAUCCUCGGGUCCUAAACGCGCAUAAUCAGCAAGACUAGGUCUACAUUUCUGCACUUGGUCAUUUUCAUUUCCAUCCCUAUUAGGAGACUGGCUCGCGAGAAGAUCAUCACAUAAGGAUAGCCCUUCUACAAGUUGUUGAGAAUCCAGCAAAUAUUGUGACUCGCUGUCCCACCAUUUCGGAUCAUCUCCAGUCUCGGUCUCAAUUUUUGUCCCAGUUUCAUCGAUUUGAUUCUCAAUGUUUU
rnacentral:misc_RNA from 1 species